rnacentral:lncRNA from 1 species
CUAUACAGGAAGUGCCCUCUCUGACCAUUUCUUGGCCUUCUAUAGCCUCUUUAUCGAAAACAGAGGAUCUCUGCUGUAACGUGACAUUUUCUAAGGCUCCCAUAAGCUCUCAGAAGGCGCCAGAACGGGGAAUGAUGACUCUGCAGUCCCUGGGCGAAAAACAGUAGGGGAUUUGGAUAGUGGUCGAUCUGAGAACAAUGACACGGGCGUGCACGUGAAGACACCAUUUUCUUCUUUCAGUCUUUGAACGAAAACAACGUCUCCCGGUCGGAAUAUUAUCGCUAUUUUACGAGAAAAAUCGCAAAAAAAAUGAUUUUAAACAGCGUUUGACAUGCUUCGAAGUACGGUAAUGGAAUAUUUUGAAUUUUUUUGUCACGAUACGCGUCGGCGCGUCACCCUUCGAAUAGUGUCUUGAACGCAAGAACAAAAUGCCGCUAUUUGGAUAUAACUAUGGAUUAUUUGGAACCAAAACAACAUUGGGUGUAAAGUAGAAGAGUGGGUGUAAAGUAGAAGAGUGCAUUCUGACGAAGAACAGCAAAGGCUAUGUACAAAACCUGCUGGAUUUAUUGUUCAGCAGUGUGGUGGGAACCCCCCUACCAUACCUGGAGCUGUUACAGAAGGCUGAGGCAGUGGCCAGACACCAGAGUAAUGGAGGACACUUCAAUCAGGAAUUUUUCUCCACAUGGAAGUGGAAGGUAUGUGAUAGGCGCCCUCACGAACAAGCCACCCUUCUCCAGGCCAUGGAUGACGCAUGCAAUGACAUCACGGCAGACCAGCGUCAGGCCUGGAUUUGCCAUGCCCGACGAUUCUUCCCAAGAUGUUUGGCUAAUGAAAACAUCCAUUGUGAUGUGGAUGAGAACCUGUGGCCAAAUCCACAAGACAGGGUUGUUGGAAAUAUAGAAGUACAGUAAUCAAUCUUUUGUUUUGCUUUUAACAGUAAGCCAGGUGAGGAACACUGCAGUUGAAUAUAGAAUAUAGAAGCACAGUAAUCAAUCUUUUGUUUUGUUUUUAACAGUAAACCAGGUGAGGAACACUGCAGUUGAAUAUAGAAUAUAGAAG